AGAGUUUGAUCCUGGCUCAGGAUGAACGCUAGCGACAGGCUUAACACAUGCAAGUCGAGGGGCAGCGGGGGUAGCAAUACCCGCCGGCGACCGGCGCACGGGUGAGUAACGCGUAUGCAACUUACCUAUCAGAGGGGGAUAACCCGGCGAAAGUCGGACUAAUACCGCAUGAAGCAGGGAUCCCGCAUGGGAAUAUUUGCUAAAGAUUCAUCGCUGAUAGAUAGGCAUGCGUUCCAUUAGGCAGUUGGCGGGGUAACGGCCCACCAAACCGACGAUGGAUAGGGGUUCUGAGAGGAAGGUCCCCCACAUUGGUACUGAGACACGGACCAAACUCCUACGGGAGGCAGCAGUGAGGAAUAUUGGUCAAUGGGCGUAAGCCUGAACCAGCCAAGUCGCGUGAGGGAUGAAGGUUCUAUGGAUCGUAAACCUCUUUUAUAAGGGAAUAAAGUGCGGGACGUGUCCCGUUUUGUAUGUACCUUAUGAAUAAGGAUCGGCUAACUCCGUGCCAGCAGCCGCGGUAAUACGGAGGAUCCGAGCGUUAUCCGGAUUUAUUGGGUUUAAAGGGUGCGUAGGCGGCCUUUUAAGUCAGCGGUGAAAGUCUGUGGCUCAACCAUAGAAUUGCCGUUGAAACUGGGGGGCUUGAGUAUGUUUGAGGCAGGCGGAAUGCGUGGUGUAGCGGUGAAAUGCAUAGAUAUCACGCAGAACCCCGAUUGCGAAGGCAGCCUGCCAAGCCAUGACUGACGCUGAUGCACGAAAGCGUGGGGAUCAAACAGGAUUAGAUACCCUGGUAGUCCACGCAGUAAACGAUGAUCACUAGCUGUUUGCGAUACACUGUAAGCGGCACAGCGAAAGCGUUAAGUGAUCCACCUGGGGAGUACGCCGGCAACGGUGAAACUCAAAGGAAUUGACGGGGGCCCGCACAAGCGGAGGAACAUGUGGUUUAAUUCGAUGAUACGCGAGGAACCUUACCCGGGUUUGAACGCAUUCGGACCGAGGUGGAAACACCUUUUCUAGCAAUAGCCGUUUGCGAGGUGCUGCAUGGUUGUCGUCAGCUCGUGCCGUGAGGUGUCGGCUUAAGUGCCAUAACGAGCGCAACCCUUGCCACUAGUUACUAACAGGUAAAGCUGAGGACUCUGGUGGGACUGCCAGCGUAAGCUGCGAGGAAGGCGGGGAUGACGUCAAAUCAGCACGGCCCUUACAUCCGGGGCGACACACGUGUUACAAUGGCGUGGACAAAGGGAGGCCACCUGGCGACAGGGAGCGAAUCCCCAAACCACGUCUCAGUUCGGAUCGGAGUCUGCAACCCGACUCCGUGAAGCUGGAUUCGCUAGUAAUCGCGCAUCAGCCAUGGCGCGGUGAAUACGUUCCCGGGCCUUGUACACACCGCCCGUCAAGCCAUGGGAGCCGGGGGUACCUGAAGUCCGUAACCGCGAGGAUCGGCCUAGGGUAAAACUGGUGACUGGGGCUAAGUCGUAACAAGGUAGCCGUACCGGAAGGUGCGGCUG
rnacentral:rRNA from 1 species